rnacentral:misc_RNA from 1 species
CUUUGAACUGCUCUUGAACUUCUUUAGCUUUAGCAAAUGUAGAAGAACGAUUCAACACAGACUCAAGUCGACCCAUAUGUAUGCCUACUGGAAGAAUUUUAAUGUAAACUGUACGACCAAAAUAAUCAAGUCCGAUGUGACCUCGCUUAGAUUCAUAAUCUAGACCUAGCAUUCUACUACAGCAUGACAGAAAAUGACGUGCAUAAUCAAAAGUAUGAAAACCAAUCAGGUCGCAGUUUAAUAAUCCUUUUAGAAUUUCAUCCCUAACUGGGAGAGUCCGGUAAAUUUCUGAUGAUGGGAAUGGGCUAUGAAGAAAGAACCCAAGCUUCACUCUAUGGUACCUCUUUCUUAAGAAUGUGGGAAGAACCAUGAGGUGGUAAUCUUGAACCCAGAUAUAAUCAUCCUCGGGAUUAACCACUUCCAUAACCUUAUCAGCAAAUAACUUGUUUGCUGAGACAUAAGCUUGCCACAGCUGACGGUCAAAACGAUCUGCAUGGUCUGGGCACAUUGGGAGCAUGUAAUGAAAAAG